UACGUAGGGAGCAAGCGUUGUCCGGAAUCAUUGGGCGUAAAGCGCGCGUAGGUGGCUUCGUAAGUCCGCUGUGAAAGUCAAAGGCUCAACCUUUGAAAGCCGGUGGAUACUGUGAAGCUAGAGUCCGGAAGAGGCGAGUGGAAUUCCGUGGUGUAGCGGUGAAAAUGCGCAGAUAUCGGGAAGAACACCCGUGGCGAAGGCGGCUCUCUGGGACGGUACUGACGCGUGAGACGCGAAAAGCGUGGGGAGCGAACGAGG
rnacentral:rRNA from 1 species